rnacentral:rRNA from 1 species
GAUGAACGCUGGCGGCGUGCCUAAUACAUGCAAGUCGAGCGAACAGACGAGGAGCUUGCUCCUCUGACGUUAGCGGCGGACGGGUGAGUAACACGUGGAUAACCUACCUAUAAGACUGGGAUAACUUCGGGAAACCGGAGCUAAUACCGGAUAAUAUAUUGAACCGCAUGGUUCAAUAGUGAAAGACGGUUUUGCUGUCACUUAUAGAUGGUUCCGCGCCGCAUUAGCUAGUUGGUAAGGUAACGGCUUACCAAGGCAACGAUGCGUAGCCGACCUGAGAGGAGGAUGAGCCAAACUGGAAGUGAGAUACGGACCAGACGCCGACGGGAGGGAGAAGUGGGGAAUAUGGGACAAUGGGGGGAAGCCUGAUCCAGCCAUACCGCGUGGGUGAAGAAGGCCUUCGGGUUGUAAAGCCCUUUUGUUGGGAAAGAAAAGCAGCAGGUUAAUACCCCGCUGUUCUGACGGUACCCAAAGAAUAAGCACCGGCUAACUUCGUG